GACCAUGUGGCUUAAUGGACAAGCUGUCUGACUUCGGAUCAGAAGAUUGAGGGUUCGAGUCCCUCGGUGGUUG
rfam:Xiphophorus maculatus strain JP 163 A Contig393.25, whole genome shotgun sequence.